AAAAAGGAUCAGAUAAACAUACAUCUGACAACCACGUAAGUCCAGAAUAACCACUUAGAAGAUAUUUAAGCAAAGGUUUUGACUCUGAACAAAAGAAAGCGCACAAAGUUCUACGGAGAGAAGAAUCAGACGCUCUGAAUCUAAACAAUGCACUCAACGAAUCUGAUGACUUUACACUCUGGAGAAAUCACUAUCAAAAAGACAUCAAGAACUUAUGAAGUCAAUUUGCUUUUAGCAACUAUCUGAAGA
rnacentral:lncRNA from 1 species